CGAUGGAGUCACAGAGGCAGUGUGUGUAGUCAUAGGUGGGAUAGAUGCACCUGCAGGGCAUAGGCAAUGGGCCCCACCAUCCAGCCCCACUCUGCCCUACCCAUGGCCCACCCCCCACUCUACAACUCCACAGUCCCGCCCCAUGCUCACACCCACCAGGUAUCCCCCGUGCGAUGGUGUGGUGUAUACUUGACUCGAUAGGCCACAGGGUCCAUCUUGCCAUCCUCCAUCACCAGCUUCAUCCGCAGUGUGGCCUCACCCUCUGCAAACUUGCCCUUGCGCAUUGCCUGACAGGACCAAGGGCUCAGGCUGCCUCUCAGCACAGAGGCAUCUCCUUCUCAGUAUCUUGACCCACCCAGAUCCAGCUGCUCUCCAACCCCCCGCCCCAAAAUCCCACCUCAAAGAGCAGCAGUGAUUCCUCAAUAGGACGGUCUCUCCAGGGCGAGGGCAGGGAGUUGUGGCCUUUGAGCUCCUCUCCUCGCUGGUGGCACACAUAUGCCUGGCCCCUAUGGGGAAAAGGUGUGAGCACGCAAGAUAGCUAUGUCCUGGGCAGCCUGCUGGCUCUACUUCAUGAACCUGGCCUCACCUAUGGAUGAGCUCCACAGCCCAGGCAUACAGCUGGUCAAAAUAGUCAGAGGCAUAUGUCACCUUGUAAGGCCUUGCCCAGCCCAUACCCAGCCAGGCCACCAUGUCGCAGAUGGCAGUGAAGAACUUUGCUUCCUCCUUCUCAGGGUUGGUGUCAUCAAAGCGCAGAAAACAGAUCCCAUUGUUGGCCUAGAAGAGUCACAGAAUCUGUGAGUUCUCACAUCAUCGGCUCCCAAAAUCCAACUCAUUAAACUGGGAUAUUCUCAGA